rnacentral:lncRNA from 1 species
UGACCUCAGACAGAUUAUGCUCAUUACCUUCUCUCUGAGUUUAUUUCAUCCUGUAUAAAAUGGCAAGAAUGACAAUUUCAACGGCUGCAUAGAAUGACAGAGGGACUUCACAGGAUCAGCUUUUUCUGCAUCUUCAGCUAACGGUGGCAGAUGGCAACCCAGCUCCCAGUUACAUAUCUUCAAUUCUGGGGCCAACUGAGCUCUCACCAAAUUCCAGUUCCAAAUCCCCAGGGAAAGGAAUCCAACUGGCCCCUGCCAAGUGCAGGGUUCUGACCACCAUGCUGAGGAUGAAGAUGAAGACAGCAUAAGCUCUGCCUCUAGAAACUGACAAUCUGCAUGGAGAGGAAAGACAUAUGCAGCUCUUCGGAAAAGGCCCUAAGAAGCCAUCAAAGAUAUGUCAUGGAGGAAGCCAUCGAAGAGGAAAGAGGAAGCUUUGUAACAGUUUACCUGGGAGGAAUAACAAGCUGCCAUAUGAAUACUGAUGAGAAAGGAGGUGGGAGAGACAUUUGAUCAUCAAUCAAGUUAUGAUUAUGAACACUCAGUUAAGAAAGAAAUGUGAAGUCAGUGUUCCUGAACAUGAAGAACAAGACCAGGGGUUGGGUUUUGGAGUCACACGGACUUUUUUUGUUCCAGCUCAUUUGUCUUUUUACC